AUACGUAGGUGGCAAGCGUUGUCCGGAAUUAUUGGGCGUAAAGCGCGCGCAGGCGGCUAUGUAAGUCUGGUGUCAAAGCCCGGGGCUCAACCCCGGUACGCAUCGGAAACUGUGUAGCUUGAGUGCAGAAGAGGAAAGCGGUAUUCCACGUGUAGCGGUGAAAUGCGUAGAGAUGUGGAGGAACACCAGUGGCGAAGGCGGCUUUCUGGUCUGUAACUGACGCUGAGGCGCGAAAGCGUGGGGAGCAAACAGGAUUAGAUACCCUGGUAGUCCACGCCGUAAACGAUGAGUGCUAGGUGUUGGGGGUUUCAAUACCCUCAGUGCCGCAGCUAACGCAAUAAGCACUCCGCCUGGGGAGUACGGUCGCAAGACUGAA
rnacentral:rRNA from 1 species